UGCCAGAGCCCUCAACAACGAGUUAUUUGGAAAAUGAUUUACUCACACCCAUGUGGAAAACCAUGAGUGUUCAUCCCAAAUAUAGCAAAUGUUUUUUAAAAAUCCAUCAUUACCUUAUAUCACGUGGGGCUGGUCCUCUCUCCGCAUCCGAUCGCCAUUAUAUCGCAAUUAUGGUCUAAAACACUCUCUGACGUCAUUUGAUAACCAAAUACUAACAUAUUUGGGAGAAUGAAGGACUUCAAUAAGAAAGUUAAUCAUUGAAGAAAUUCAAUUGGUUUCAUAUUCGUAUAAUUGGGCAACAAGACAGUGGAGUUGGGAAAAGGGGUCAUGGAUAUAACUGGAAUUACCCAUUUAUUCUGGGUCCGUAUAUCAUUAUAGUAACUGUUGUUUUUCAUUGUAAUAUUUUCGAAAUAAAAUCCACCAUGAACAAACUGACAAAAAAAA
rnacentral:lncRNA from 1 species